AAUAACUACAUUAUGUAUGUAACUUUUAUGCAUGUACAUUUGCUUCUCUCUAUUUGUAUUACUAAAGAUCUUGCUGUUUCUGGCACUGAAGUCAUAAUAAUCUGUGACAUAAGCAAUUUCGGGCUCCAGCUGAGAAAAAUGGGCUGAACUCCGUAACAUACUUGAAGUUCUCCACUGCCAUUGGCAGCUGCAAGAUGCAGUUCAAUGAGACAGUGCAAGUGAUCUACUGCCUGUCUGAUUUAGGUUAGAAGAAGAGUCUGGGGUAUGUGGAAGUACAGUUUUGGAGGCAGAGAAAGAAGAAAAGCCCAGACGAGUGGGAAGCCCUUCACUGACAACUUGCAGUGUGUAUGUUCUGAUGGCUUACAGCACAGCAAGUAUAUCACUCGUGGGGACAUUUGAAAAAGAGAAUGAAGGACCCAUCUCAGAUGAAGAACCAGACAAGGAUGGGGUAUACAGAAAGUGAUAGAAGGAUUUUGCACAGGAUUUAUUGGAUUAGUAUCGGAAAAGUGGAGGAGAGGUUGGAUUAGGGUAGAAGCAAGGGAAGGGGAAAGUAAAAUAUCCUUUAACUGUACACAGGAAAAUCAGGGAGAUUUCCAAGGUCUGCCUCUGUCCCUUGCAGUACUUUGCCUGAAUGCACUGCCCUGUGCAGAAUAUGAUCCCUCCCUCAAAAGGAGGGCAUUCACUAUUAAUUUCUGUGCAUUCUGCCCUCAGAAGUAGAGGAGCUGUUUUUGUGUGGUCUUACAACAUCUGUAAUUUGUCUGAAAUACUGAAAGAAGGCUCUCAAGACUCUGCCAUGUGUAAGACAAAAUGGAAGUACCAGAGCUUCCCCUCAGACAACAAAAUCAUCACUAAAUUCUGCACUGUGUUAAUUAAUGAUUAUGGGACAGCUGUGCAUCAGGUGCUGAGGCAAACAGCUUUCAGCUUCAUGUUUUAUAAUACACCUGGGGCAGCUGCUUUUCCAUCCUUCUCCAUUCUGCUGCAUGUUUAUUUAGUACAUUUGAGCAUUCCUGGCUUUGAAGCUCAUCUUGUUUAUGGUGACAGGUGCACCUUGUGCUGCGGAGAGCACUAACUCAUUGUUAGGAAAGGAUGGAGGGAAGAUGGCAGCUGAGCAACUUCAUGUUUUAACACACAUCAGCUGUAUUUAAAAUGUGCUAAUGUUGCACAGGGGAGGAGGGGGUCAAGGGAUGUUUUCUUUCUGUUAAAUCUACCCUGUAUAUAUAUAUACACACACACAUUUCUGAAUGGUAAAAAUAACUGAAAUUCCAAAAGUAAACAGUGGCUUUUAAUUUGUUAGCACGCUACAAAACGCCUAUUUCUAAAGAAUGAUGCAGUUUUCCUAGUUACAUUGUGAAAUAACUUCCAAGGAUGUUGCAUCAGGUAAUCUGGACUAACUGUGUUUAGCACAACACAUUUGUGUAAAUAAGUAGGUUGUCAAGGCAAAUGUGUUUUACAGUAUUUUUGAAGGUUGUUAGUCUGUUCUUGCUCCAUUUCCUCCUUUUAAUCAAUGCUGUACUAAUGAUCAUUCAGCCUUUGAUUCUAAAACUGAUUCAAUUUUUCUGUUGGUGGGAGAUGAUCAUUUGAGAACACUUAGAAGGUUUAGGUGGGAUUUGGCAGAAACCUGCAUCAAAGAAACUUUGAACAACUCUGUGAUGAUGCCAGUCUUGAAGUUCCAAAGCAUAGAAUAUUUUUCUGAAUUCUGCUGAAUAGUGAUGCAUUUUUUUCUGUUGUUUCUAUUCACAUCACCACUGAUUACUAAGAUAUCUGUGUGUAAACAAAAGCUUUCUCAUCUAUAAUUAGCCUUCUCUGACUGAUUAAGGAACAUGCUUAGAAUGAGGACAUGCUUAAAUAGAAUGCUGCUAUUUAAACCCACGUAACUUCAUAAUCAACCACUAGAUACAGAAGAAAAAUACUUGAUAAUUUAAAUGCAAUAAGAUUGCCUGAGUAUAACAAAAAUGCUCUUAAGAUAUUACUUUUCUGCUUCAGCAGAUUAUAAAAUCCUCUAGUACCUGAAUUACAAAUUACUUCACUUGGAGCCCUUUUAAAGUGGAAAUUAUCUGUGCUGACUAGCUUGUGCUCCUGAAGGAUUAAGUUCUGAGUAUUUGUAACUUCAUAUUUACAGUUACUGCAUCAAAUACAUCUUCCUCAUUACACAGUCUAGCAAUAGUUGAGAGGAUGCUUUGAAAUUGUGUAACUGAUGCUGUUUAGUCUACCCUGUGUGUAUGUGUGUGUGUAUAUAUAUAUGUACACACACACACAUUUCUGAAUGGUAAAAAUAAGUGAAAUUCCAAAAGUAAACAGUUGUUCUUUUUUCAUUUAAGUACUUUAUUAUCAAUAAUAUGGGAUUCCUUCUAGACAAAAACUGUGUAUUUCAACAUGUUUUACUUUUUGUGUGUGUAGUAUUCAUUUUACAUCACAUAAGCUUGCAAGGUUUAGUAGUUAGAAUAAAUCAUCAUACAGCGCUUCCGAACUUUAUCUUCACUUCUGGAUCUGAUUCACUGUAUGACCCUGGACAAUAUGCUUAAUGACAGUGAUAUGCUGUCUAUAUUUUACAAGGAGCAUUUACCACAGAAUUGCCUUUUCUCUCUUCAUCUACUAGCUGAGUUUACAUGUUUGAGUUUAAAUGCUUAAAUUGAACUGUCCCAAACUAAGGAAAUAAAUACUUUAAUUAGGCAUCUUAGAAAAUAAUUUGUUUCCUUCUUCAACCAUUUCAUGCAGUUAUCAUUAGUUAUAGGUCAAGAUUGAAGAGAGAGCAGAAGUUGCC